UAACAUUUUGCGUUAUGUUGUUACUGAUGUUCUGUUAUAUAUGAAUUUUAUGUUUCUUAAGUUAUGUUAUAUGCAUAUUAUAUGAACUUAUGGUGAAUGCUAUUGUUGUUGUGAUGUUUUUUGUAAUCUUUUGAGUUGAUAUACAUUUGGUUUACCUUCAAGUUGUUGUCUACUGUUAAAAAUGAUACAUAGUUAAUUUCAUUAUUAGACCUCACUGCAUUUAAUCAUUCACUAAAAUUAAUAUUUAGAUUCACUAAAAGCCUACUACUACUACUCUGGUAAAUCACAUCAGCUUUAUCAGAAUUUAGAAAAAUGAAUUAAACUACAACUUUUGAACAGUCAUUGUUUGUGAAGUUGCCUUUGUUAUCACUUGAUUAGUUUGCUUACUGUUGAAACAUGGUUUUAAUUUUGUAAAUUUAAUGAUAUGAAAUUUACUCUAUUAAUCAUUA